rnacentral:rRNA from 1 species
UACGUAGGGGGCUAGCGUUGUCCGGAAUCAUUGGGCGUAAAGCGCGUGUAGGCGGCCCGGUAAGUCCGCUGUGAAAGUCCAGGGCUCAACCCUCGGAUGCCGGUGGAUACUGUCGGGCUUGAGUACGGAAGAGGCGAGUGGAAUUCCUGGUGUAGCGGUGAAAUGCGCAGAUAUCAGGAGGAACACCAAUUGCGAAGGCAGCUCGCUGGGACGUUACUGACGCUGAGACGCGAAAGCGUGGGUAGCAAACAGG